rnacentral:rRNA from 1 species
GGAGGAAAGCAGGGGAUCGUAAGACCUAGCGUUGAUGGAGCGGCCGAUAUCUGAUUAGCUAGUUGGUGAGGUAAAGGCUCACCAAGGCGACGAUCAGUAGCUGGUUUGAGAGAACGACCAGCCACACUGGAACUGAGACACGGUCCAGACUCCUACGGGAGGCAGCAGUGGGGAAUUUUGGACAAUGGGGGCAACCCUGAUCCAGCCAUUCCGCGUGAGUGAAGAAGGCCUUCGGGUUGUAAAGCUCUUUCGCAAGGAAAGAAAACUUAUGAUCGAAUAAAUCAUGAGGUUGACGGUACCUUGAUAAGAAGCACCGGCUAACUACGUGCCAGCAGCCGCGGUAAUACGUAGGGUGCGAGCGUUAAUCGGAAUUACUGGGCGUAAAGCGUGCGCAGGCGGUUUUGUAAGUCGGAUGUGAAAUCCCCGGGCUCAACCUGGGAACUGCGUUUGAAACUACAAAGCUAG